rnacentral:rRNA from 1 species
UGGGGAAUAUUGCGCAAUGGGGGAAACCCUGACGCAGCGACGCCGCGUGGGUGAUGAAGGCCUUCGGGUUGUAAAGCCCUGUCGGCUGGGAAAAAGAUUAUUGCACUAACACUGCAGUAGUUUGAUGGUACCAGCAAAGGAAGCACCGGCUAACUCUGUGCCAGCAGCCGCGGUAAUACAGAGGGUGCAAGCGUUGUUCGGAAUUACUGGGCGUAAAGGGCGUGUAGGCGGCUUAGCAAGUCAGAUGUGAAAUCCCGGGGCUUAACUCCGGAAGUGCAUUUGAAACUGCUAGGCUAGAGUGAUGUAGAGGUUGGUGGAAUUCCCAGUGUAGAGGUGAAAUUCGUAGAUAUUGGGAGGAACACCGGUGGCGAAGGCGGCCAACUGGGCAUUAACUGACGCUGAGGCGCGAAAGCGUGGGGAGCAAACAGGAUUAGAUACCCGUGUAGUCC